GACGAACGCUGGCGGCGUGCUUAACACAUGCAAGUAGAACGGAAAGGCCCUGCUUUUGUGGGGUGCUCGAGUGGCGAACGGGUGAGUAACACGUGAGUAACCUGCCCUUGACUUUGGGAUAACUUCAGGAAACUGGGGCUAAUACCGGAUAGGAGCUCCCGCUGCAUGGUGGGGGUUGGAAAGUUUCGGCGGUUGGGGAUGGACUCGCGGCUUAUCAGCUUGUUGGUGGGGUAGUGGCUUACCAAGGCUUUGACGGGUAGCCGGCCUGAGAGGGUGACCGGCCACAUUGGGCCUGAGAUACGGCCCAGACUCCUACGGGAGGCAGCAGUGGGGAAUAUUGCACAAUGGGCGGAAGCCUGAUGCAGCAACGCCGCGUGCGGGAUGACGGCCUUCGGGUUGGAAACCGCUUUCGCCUGUGACGAAGCGUGAGUGACGGUAAUGGGUAAAGAAGCACCGGCUAACUACGUG
rnacentral:rRNA from 1 species